GUGGAAACACCACAUCGUAGACGAUGUGGUGCUUCCUAUGUUCCCGAAGGACAAGAAGCUUGCAGCGAAGUGGGUCAUUGUGAUCACCGAUCAGCGCAGCUGCAUCCGACGCCCUUUACCGGUACGGCUCCCACGCGCCGUAUCCGAGCACUGUCAUCACCAAGAGGCGUCACCACCAGGAGGCGUAUCUGUGCAAGGAUCUGCGGCAUCUCGACGAGCAGCUGGCUAUAAAAGAAGACAACGUUUCACUGGCCCGCUCACUUGGCAGUGGUGGCGACGACAGAGCAUCAUCUAAGCGCCUGCUGCUUUUCUUGCUGCAGGUUAGUACGGUACACACGUAACUUUUUUUUCUUUUUUUUUCUCUGCGUCAGUCGCCGCUACUGCCAAGUUGUCAAA